UGACCCAAGGCCUGCUUUCUGAUCCAGCACCUGGACAGGCCCGUCUAGCCAAGGGAGGGGCCCCACUCCUUUCUGAGCAGGGGUGAAGGGACUCAUGGAGGUGCUUGUUCUGAACCUGUCCCCACAGGAAGACCCCGGUGUGGGAUUCAAAGGACUGGUUCCUACCAGAGCCGGUGCUGGGGUGAUCACAAGUGAGACAGAAGAGCAUCAAGGCAUUGGCUCAAAGCACCAGAGAAGUUAGCGAGGGGCCAGCACCUGAACCUCAAACAGGAGGACUGUUGCUUGCUGUCAGGUCGUUGGUUCUCCUGAGGCUGGGACAGACAGACAUGCAGGAUGGGGCGGUAUCUGUCCCACUAACCAUGGUCCACUCUGGCUGGUGUUUGGCUGAAGAGCACAAACAAGAGAAGAAAGCUCCCCUGGAGUAGCUGCCUCUCCAGCAGUGGUACAGUGUCCUCCUCAAGCCAAAGAAGAUGAAGGAUAACACUUGAUUUGGGGAGCCUAAGCUGGGGUCUGAUUUCCAGAGGGGCUCAGCACCCAUGGGUCCCACUGACUUCUGGGGGAAUGAGGGUGCUAAACGGGCUCAAGAUGGGCACCCGAAACAUCAGAGGCCACUUUUGAAAGUCCUGAUUUCACCAUGGCACCUCUGCAGGAUUCUACCAUCCAAGUUCUUUCUCUUGUGUUUGCAGAGGGCAGCAACUCAUAACCAGCCCACAAUUUGGCUACUUUCAAUCCUUACUACAGCAGAACCUCGUUAGUUUGCACUAAAGACAGGCGUCUCCAGCAGUGUCUGCAGGACUGAGCCCUUAGAUUUUACGUUCUUCGGAGUAAGGACUCUGUCUUUCUUUGAAAGUCCUGUUUAUAUCCAUAUGGCGCUAGGCAAUCAAUAACCAAUGAUAAUGACAGAGCAAACAGUAGGAAAACAAGGAUCAGACAUUGCAAAAAUCUGACCAGUUAUUUAAUCAUCUAUUUAUUAUUUCUGUUGUGGUAUGGCCCACUCAUAGUCAGGGUCCCCAUUAUACUUAUCUGCUCACCUGUCCUACCACAUCACGAACAGGCCCCUCUGCCCAGCCAACCGUAGCAGACUCCAAUGCCCCUUGCCUCUUUGAGCACCUUCUCCCAUGCUGCUCCUUAUACCUAGAAUGCUCUCUGCAAUUCAGUUCAUUCACCCUCUUUCAAAUCACUUCUCAAGUCCCAUUUCUACGGUGAUGGCCUUAGCUAGCUAGAUACGGGUAACAGGUAGGCAGGCGGCCUGUUGGAAGAGCCACUGAAACCUUGUGUUCAUUUAUUCUGGUGUCUGUGUACAUAUGAUUAUUUUAAAUUGAAGACUGUAAAUUAUACAUGUAGCUAAAUACCGGCAACGCUGUGUCCCUAUUUCUGCUACACACGCUGCUCCCAUCCCCCAGACACACUCUCCCUGUGUUACACACCCACCUGUUAAACGCUGUUCUUAUUGUAGACUGUAAAUUCCUUGGGGCAGAGACUAUCUUUAUAAUUAUAUGUUUGACCAGCACCCAGCAAACUGAGGCACCGAUCCUGAUGAUGGUCUGUGUGGCGACACCACGCACAGAUAAUAAAUAAUGAUAAGAAUACUACGGUACUAGGACACAGAGUCCCUGAUUAAUCCCUGGUGUAAUUUCACUGAAGUCAGAGAGUUCGGCAGAGACUUGUAUUGAAUGCCUUUGUCAGUGACCUCCCCAAGGCCAGAGAGGGAACGGGGCUUACAGCAGAGCUUUGGCACCUGGCUCCCUGCCAUGGCCUGGAACAGGUCUCUCUGUAACCAGAGCUUGUAGAAUACAUUUAGUACAUUUAGGACCACUUAUUAAAAAGCUAAUUAAAGCAGUUAAUCCUUUAUGAGAUUCCAUCAUUAGUCAAUCAUAUCACUGUAGUCUGUAACAGAACUCUGAUAGUCAUCUGGCACAUAUAAUGCAUGCAGCACAACCACAUGUUUAAAGAGCAUUAUCAUUAUUAUUUGUUUAGUGUCAACACUGGUGGGUGCGGCCCAAGACCAAAGAGAAAGAGAGACACUUCCCACCCCAAAGAGUUUAGCAUCUCAGAGCCCAGACACUCCGUCUGGAAUGCUGUGCUUUUUGUGUGUUUUGCAACAAAUUCUACCCCCAAAAAAAUUAAAAUUCUGCACACAUUUUAAAA